UAAUACGUAGGGGGCUAGCGUUGUCCGGAAUCAUUGGGCGUAAAGCGCGCGUAGGCGGCCCGGUAAGUCCGCUGUAAAAGUCCAGGGCUCAACCCUGGAAAGCCGGUGGAUACUGUCGGGCUCGAGUCCGGAAGAGGCGAGUGGAAUUCCUGGUGUAGCGGUGGAAUGCGCAGAUAUCAGGAGGAACACCAAUAGCGAAGGCAGCUCGCUGGGACGGUACUGACGCUGAGGCGCGAAAGCGUGGGGAGCGAACAGGAUUAGAUACCCUGGUAGUCCACGCCGUAAACGAUGGGCACUAGGUGUGGGAGGUGUCGACUCCUCCCGUGCCGGCGCUAACGCAUUAAGUGCCCCGCCUGGGGAGUACGGCCGCAAGGCUA
rnacentral:rRNA from 1 species